GCCUUGAGUGCGAUUUUCAUGAGCAUAACUGAUAAUGUCCUUCGCGAGAUUGCUGGGACAAGCUCAGCGUCUGCUGUAUGAAAGAAAUUAGAGGAGUUGUACUCUAUUAAAUCGCUGACCAACCGUCGUAUCCGAAGAAAAGGCUUUACAAUCUGAGAAUGAGCGAAGGUACACCCAUUAAAGAACAUCUGGAUGAAGUUAAUUCAAUCAUUAAGGACCUAAAGAAUAUUGAUAUUGAUAGUGAGGAU
rnacentral:misc_RNA from 1 species